AUCAAUAGAUUCGGUGCAGCAUACCUAGCGAACAUACCCUUUGAAAAAUGGACAUAAUCAUAUUGUAAUACCCAAUUUUGCCCCGGGGCCCAUUCAGAAUAAGCAGAAAAAACCAAGAAAAAAUAAUAAAUAAAAUUCAGUCCAAAAACAGUCCAUUUACAUUGGCCCAGAUCAAUUUACCUAAAAAAAAACCAAUACAGACUCUAGCCCCAAAAUAUAACAAGACCCAAUACAAACAGCCCAUUAAUCUAGCCCGACCUAAACCCGAUUCUAAGCCCAGCAAACCAAC
rnacentral:lncRNA from 1 species